CUUCCCUUCUCUGUGGGACAAGGAACCUUCCACUGGCAGCAAAACAGAGGCAACUGCCAUGUCCUGUACUGAAGAUGAAGAAAGACAAUGCCAUUUACCAGUCCUUUAUUUGAAUGUGGGAUCAAUUAUUAGAGUAAAAUGCCACGUGCAGCACUGGGAUCACUUCAAUACCCAGCUGUUAAUGGAUGGACUGGCAGGAAGAGCCCCAGCCUUGUCCUGAUGAGUAAACACAAUUCCGGGAAAAGCUUUCCUACGCCCUCUGCUGGUUUUCCA